AAUGGCCCAUCGGACGAGUUGUAGAAGUUCUUCCAGGAAGGGAUGGGCAGAUUCGUUUAGCCAAAGUGGAGACUAUCAAAAGAUGCUUGCUCCGUCCACUACAACGAUUAUUUCCAUUAUGUGGACGUGAUCCUGACAGACUUUCAGAGUUGGACGCUGUUAAGCCUCGCGUUCAAACUGAGAUAGAAGUGAAUUCGCCUAUGACUUCGCGAAAUGAAGGCGAAAACCCACAGAAGUCGUGAACCUGAGAUUGAAGAUGUAGGUAUUGAAGUCGAAAAAACGACUCGAUGUGGACGUAUUAGUAAGAUUCCAAGUCGUUAUUUAGAAUAGAGUUUGUUCUAUAGUUAGUUUCAUGUACUUCCGAUAUUAGCUCUGUUUAGCAUUACAAAGUUAAUUUUUUCAGUUUUAAGAAACAUUUUUGUCAGCAAUGUUUCUUAGGUGGGAGAAUGUCAGAGAUGCGAGUAUAUGAAAUGGAUGAAUAGAGAGAGAAAAGAGAGCGAAUCGAAUACAACAAAACCUAAAAAUAAAAACCAGUAAGAUUUUGACAUUGUCAGAAAAAAGUUUUAUGUACAGACAUCUCGGCAGUUUUAUUUAACGAACCCAUCGACGGCCCUUUGAAACGGGUAGUUUCUUUUGGUGCACGACACUACAGUUGUUGAACAUGUCCAAAUAGCGGACUGCAGGAGCGAAACUUUGUAGAUGUUGGUGUAAUAAUAUGUGGAUACUUAGUGAACAAAUUAACUGAUUAGCACCGACAACCUUUGAUGGUAGGCCUGGGUAACACUGUGUUGAGUUGCUCCUUCGAGUUGAUGCCGCUUUGUGAGUUGGUGAGUUAUAACUCAUAUCGCCUCAUGGAGCCGCACCUCAAAUUGAACCUGUGGCGGAAUAAUUCUUGUAAUCAGAACUUUUAGAAAUUAUAUUAGUUGAAAUUCC